rnacentral:rRNA from 1 species
UGGUGGAGUGAUUUGUCUGCUUAAUUGCGAUAACGAACGAGACCUACACCUGCUAAAUAGUUACGCCAGCCCCCGGCUGGCGGGCAACUUCUUAGAGGGACUAUGCGAGCUAAUCGCAUGGAAGCUGGAGGCAAUAACA